AUUGAACGCUGGCGGCGUGCUUAACACAUGCAAGUCGAACGCGAAAGGGAUUUCGGUCCUGAGUAAAGUGGCGCACGGUGAGUAACGCGUGGAUAAUCUGCCCUUAUGAUUGGAAUAACAGUUGGAAACGGCUGCUAAUACCGGAUACGCUCAAAAUGAACUUUUUGAGGAAAGAUGGCCUCUGCUUGCAUGCUAUCGCAUAAGGAUGAGUCCGCGUCCCAUUAGCUUGUUGGCGGGGUAACGGCCCACCAAGGCAACGAUGGGUAGCCGAUUUGAGAGGAUGAUCGGCCACACUGGAACUGAAACACGGUCCAGACUCCUACGGGAGGCAGCAGUGGGGAAUAUUGCGCAAUGGGCGAAAGCCUGACGCAGCGACGCCGCGUGAGGGAUGAAGGUUUUCGGAUCGUAAACCUCUGUCAGAAGGGAAGAAACUACGUUGUGCUAAUCAGCAGCGUACUGACGGUACCUUCAAAGGAAGCACCGGCUAACUCCGUGCCAG
rnacentral:rRNA from 1 species